rnacentral:rRNA from 1 species
GAUGAACGCUGGCGGCGUGCUUAACACAUGCAAGUCGAACGGUGAAGCAGAGCUUGCUCUGUGGAUCAGUGGCGAACGGGUGAGUAACACGUGAGCAACCUGCCCCUGACUCUGGGAUAAGCGCUGGAAACGGCGUCUAAUACCGGAUAUGAGCUGCGAUCGCAUGGUCAGCAGUUGGAAAGAUUUUUCGGUCUGGGAUGGGCUCACGGCCUAUCAGCUUGUUGGUGAGGUAAUGGCUCACCAAGGCGUCGACGGGUAGCCGGCCUGAGAGGGUGACCGGCCACACUGGGACUGAGACACGGCCCAGACUCCUACGGGAGGCAGCAGUGGGGAAUAUUGCACAAUGGGCGAAAGCCUGAUGCAGCAACGCCGCGUGAGGGAUGACGGCCUUCGGGUUGUAAACCUCUUUUAGCAGGGAAGAAGCGAAAGUGACGGUACCUGCAGAAAAAGCGCCGGCUAACUACGUGCCAGCCGCCGCCUAAUAC